rnacentral:piRNA from 1 species
UUCUCGUCCUCCUUUUUGAUCAGCCGCCUG